UACGGAGGAUGCAAGCGUUAUCCGGAUUUAUUGGGUUUAAAGGGUGCGUAGGCUGCUUUGCAAGUCAGGGGUGAAAGCCCGGCGCUCAACGCCGGAUGUGCCUUUGAUACUGCGAGGCUUGAAUACUGUUGCCGUGGGAGGAAUGAGUAGUGUAGCGGUGAAAUGCAUAGAUAUUACUCGGAACACCGAUUGCGAAGGCAUCUCACGAAACAGCGAUUGACGCUGAGGCACGAAAGCGUGGGGAUCAAAC
rnacentral:rRNA from 1 species